CGUACAGCUCGCCGAGGGCGGCGGCCUCGCCGCGGGCGAGGCGCUGCUGCAUCCUGCGGUCCCAGCGCGGUGGUGUGUC
rnacentral:tRNA from 1 species